GGGAAAGCCACAGUUUGUGUGAAUCGCAGAGAGCAAAAUGGCAAACUGAAGACACAAUCUCAUGACAAUAGAGACAUAAUAGACAUCUAUUCACCGAAUAAGUUAAAGAGGAGCUCUUUCUGAGAUGAAGAGAAUUCUCAAUGUCAAGAUUUGAACAAGAAGAGAAUGGAAUACACAAUAUGGACAUCCAUAAAAAUUCAUCAGAGAGCAUUUUACUACUGAGCUGCAAAGGGAAAAACUUAAAAUGGAUAUGAAAAGUGAAGAAAGUGAUCAUAGGAGAAAACCAUUUCAGAUGACAAGAGCACCUCAAAGGCAGCAGCCUCAAGGAGCAGCCAUGGCCCCAGACUUGUCGCACGGAUGCAGAAAACUUAAUGGAGGAGGCUGAGGUCAGAAUGGGAAGAGUUUUUAAAAAAUAAAAAGGGGAGCUAAUAUGUGAGGAACUGAUUGCUGUGCAUUAUUUUCCACUGAACAGACCUUCUUUUAACUUCUAAUCUCAAGCACAUAGCAGCUGUUGUUUUCAUAUUAAAGAUCAGUAAGUGUUUGUUGAAUGAAUGUAUAAAUUCUUCCCCAAUCUCUGUUCCAUGUAAUAAGAACUAAGUUAGCAUUCAAUUAUAAAGAGGACUUAGAAAGUCUGCAGACAUUUUUGAUCAAAAAUCCUUUUAACUGUCUUCUUAUGGUUCCCGGUAACACCUAAGCCCAAAAAACUCAGGUCAUUUCUUGCCUGUACUGUUGCAAUAGCCUCAUAAUAACUAGUCUUCUCCUUUAUCAACCACAGUCGUCUCCGCUACACAAAGAAGAGAGGGUGCUAAUCUAAAGUGUAAAUUAUUUUAAAUCAGCACCCUUCUUGUAAUUUCCCAGUGGUUUUUCCUGUCAUAAGAAUAACAUGCAAAAUUCCUUGCUUGCAAAGCCAGGUAUGACCUUGCCCCGUCUACCUUACUGGCAUCGUCUCUCAUGACUCUUCCCCUUUUUCACUCUCCAUCUUGCCUUUUCCCAACCAUGCCUGCUAGUGAGCCUUAGCCCUUGUGUUUUCUCUGCCAGGGAUGCAUGACUGGCUUCUUUACUUUAUUCUGAUCUCUCUGCUCAAAUGUCAUCUUUUUAGAGAUAGCUUUCCUAAACAUCUUUAAAAGUACCCCAUGAACUGUGAAACACCUUUCCUGCUUUUUCUUCAUAGUACUUAUCACUUCCUGAUAUUAUGUUAGACAACAAGCAAAUAAGUAUAUGCUGUUCCCACUAAAAUAUAAGCUCCAUUUGAACAGGAGCCUUGAUUAUUCCUGAGUAUACCCCUAGUGCCCAGAACCUAGUAGGGCUUUAAUAAAUAUUAGAUUCAUUUGUUGAAUGAAAAAAUGAAUGAAUAAUUGAAUAAAGAUAUCCAGGUAGAGUGUCCGGGCAGCCCAACCUAUGUGAAGCCAGUACAAGAAUGUUUCUGUGACAUAGUGAGCGCAAUUAUUCCUCUAAAUGAUGAACUUGCAUGAGUACACAAGGAUAAAAUUAAGCACGUAGUUUAGAUUUCUGCAAGUCUCUUCCUCAGAUUGAGGAAAAACAAAGAAAUUGAGCUUAUUCUCACCUCAUUCUUACAUGAACUAAAUCCAGAAUAAAGCAUCAUUUAAAUACCAAGCACAUCCCUACCUCAGCCACUCAUGGAAUACUUUAUCUGUAAAGGGACAGAUAGAUAGUAAAUAUUUUUGGCUUUGGGGACCGUACAGUCUGUGUCGCCACUACUCAGCACUUCUGUUGAGGUGUGGAAUCAGCCCUAGACAACACAUAAACAAAUGGGUGUGGCUGUGUUCCAAUAAAAUGUUAUUUAUAAAACUAGGAAAUCAGCAGAUUUAGUCCACAGGCUGUAGUUUGCUGACCCUUGAAUUAGAGAGUCUUCCCCAAAUCCUCUUCCCAAGUUAUUGAAAGAAUGCCCAUAGGACCAUAGCUCCCUCACCUGGUUCUUUCAAGAAAUGAGACAAAUUCAGGGAUGGUUGGAGGGUGGAACGCCUACCUGUGACAUGACUAUUGAGCCUGAUUUCUUUCCUUUUAUCUCUUUAAAGUGAGUCAGGUCUUAACUUUAAACUGUCUCUAAAGUGGCAAUAACUGGGCCAUGUCAAAUACUCCCAAUGACAAAAUUUCUUCUUGGAGAAUGAAUGAGGGUUGCAUACAGUGGUGUGUUGGUAAAUGUUUAGCAACUGGCUCUCUUACUGAUUUCUGUAGUGUAAAUUCUCCCAUCCUGGCCAUCUGAAACUACCAAUAUGAUGUCACUUGAUGUAGAGUUGGGAAAAGACAGUCUCUUGAAUAAGUAUGAGCUGGUUCCAGCCCACUGCUGAACACAUAUUUAAAAGCUACAAUAGCUCUGCUCACUGCCAUUGCAGAGUCUGGAGGAAAGAGUAGCAGGCUUGAUAGGAGCAAUUGGCUGAAUAAUCUUUUGCAAUGCCAAUAAAUAAUGAAAAAGUAUAUAAAUAUAACGCUGUAUAGAAAGCUCUCAAGUUCAGUGUUUGGUUAAAAUACAUACUCAGUAAAUGGUAGCUAUUAUUGUCUUAGUUUAAGUUAUUGCAAGCAUUAAAAUUAAAUGUUUAGCUACAGACUCAAUCCAGUUUUAAUGUCAUUGUGUUAAUAAGGCCUCUUAACAUUGAAGCAACAAAGAUAAAGGAAUUUUUUUGUAGCUAUUCACGAUUCUGCCCAGCUCAAGGUAAAGAUAGCAACAAAAUACUCCAACCAGAAUAAAAGAAGUCUCCACUUGACUGCAGCUCUUCGCAACACUUCACAAGGGUCAAGCUGUGUUAGUUUCCUUCAGUGUUAAACAGAAUGCAUCUUAAGAGAAUAGUUCAAUUAUUGAUUGAAUAGUAGGUUCAAGUUGACUAUAAUCCCAACUAAUACACUCUAAGACCAGGGAUGGGCCGACAGAAGGGUAAAGUUUUCCACUCAAGUCUCGAGGCAAACACUCAGAUAGAAGUAGUAAUAUGGAUGCCUUCUAUUAUUUGGUCACAUACAAUACUGUUCCAGCCCAGUUGUGCAAAACUGGUGAAAUAAAAGGCAAAAAUAUUGACAACAGUUUGGGUAACUGGAUUCCAAAAUGGGCAUCCAUCUAAGAGAAAUUAAUGAAAAAAAAGCAUAUGGACCUUGAAAUACAUUAAUACACAGUUUAGGUUUAAACACUCAGUUUUUAUUAGAAAAGACUAACUUAUCCUGUUUUGAACACUACAAAAGUGCUUUCUGAACCAUUUACUCUCAAACCUCCUCCACCCAUUCCCCUCCAUCUAUAACGCUUUCUGCACAUCUGUAAAAGGUAUGACUUAGUGUUUGGUCUGUGAAAUAAGGUUAAAAAGGAAGCAUUUCUUUUUACAUUCUAGCUAAUGUUGAUAUUUUUCUCAUGCUUCUAUUAGCACAUAAUUCAGAUACAUUAGUUUUGAAGUUUUGAAUCUUCUCUGCUUCUUGAGGGCUCUCUGUUCUAGAUCAACAUGAUCUGUGGAACACCAGCCAAGUCCUGGGCAGAACCCUCCCCGUUGUCCAAAUAUUACUGAAUCAGUUGAGUUUUCUCUGUUGUCAAUGAAUUAUUCCACAUGUUUCUUUGGCUACAUUUUUUUUGGCUUUCUGUUCACAGUAAAUAUAGCCUUUGUUUUUAAAAACUUCUAUUAUGAAAAUUCCAAAUAUAUGCAAAUUAGAGAGAAUAGCAUAAUGAACCUCUAUGUGCUUAUCACACAUAUAGGUUCAACUAAUUAAAUUAUAUCAAUUUAUGGCCAAUCUGGUUUCAUUUAUAACAUCAUUCGCUCAUUCCUAACUCCCUGGAUUAUUUGAUUGACAUGUUUCUAAAGUUCCUUUUAAUCUGUAGGUUCCCCCUCUCAUUUAAUCUUUUGCAACUUAUUCAUUGAUGAAACUGGGUUAUUUGUCCUUUAUUGUUUCUCUCAUUCUGAAAUAUGCUGUAAUGUCAUUAACCAUAUUCUUCUUUCCUGUAUUUUCUGUAAGCUUUGAGCUAGGCAGAAAUAUUUUAAUCAGAUUCCUUUUUUUUUCUUUUAGCAAGAUUUCUUCAUAAAUAAUAUUGUAUGUGUUCAUGAAAAUAGAAAUAAAAAUAGAAAUAAAGAAGAAAUAACAGAAAAAGGACAGAAAUUGUUAAAAUUUUUUUAUGAAAACAGAUAGUAAAUAACAUUGUAAUAAAUCCCAACAGAACAUAGAGAACCUGACUUUAUUGACGUUAGUGGGAGGAGGUUUGUGAUUUUAAAACUAUAUAUUAUGGUUAUGUCAUCUAAAAAUCAAAUAUUCAAGCACAUAUAUUAAAAUUAGUCAUCAUUACAUUUUUCCAAAAUAAAAAAUAAAACUAAACCAACAUUAACCAUCAGUGAUUCCAUCAACUGAGCAAGUUUGAGUAGCAUUACCCUAGUGAAUAUCAGACUAUCGAUUAUUCUAUUCAUGUACCUGAAAUUGGAUAACAGUAUGAAGAAUUUCCUGAACAAAUACAAGAUACAUAUUUAGACCUUCUCCAGUCUAGAGGAAUACUUGCUUCUUGUCAGAAUGAAGAAUGAGGAGUAUUGUUUUAGAACUGGACUUCUUUGAUGACCCUUAAGUAAACCAAUAUGGACCAGAUAACAGGAGCAUUUCAAAGCAUCAGAAUUUUGGGGGAUUCUUGUGGUGGAGCACAAUGAGGCAUUCCAGCCUACUCUAAGAAAAUAGUUCAUCCCUGUCAAUAUCCUGGGAAGCAGAGUUCAGAUAAAACUAUGAAGACACAAUGUAAAAUGUCAGUUGUCUUUGCAAAACAUUAAGUAUAUGUGUAUUCUUGGGAAUGGGGGGAAGUAUGUAAUUAUUUGUGGCUUUUCAAAAAUGAAUGGCUUUUGAAAAGCCACCUCUGUAGUGCCUUUUUGAUUCCUCUUACGAAAAAAACAAACCUGGAAAAAUUAGUAGUCUUUAAUUUAUAGUUAGUUAGCACAUUAUGACAGAACUUUAAUCUCAUAUCUCACUAGGUAGAAAUGAAAUAAUACAUUUUCCCAUUAUAUAUUGAUUGGAGUUAAUUAAAUAUAGUUAGUAUUCCAUUUACAUUGAUGCUUUUUGUUCAAAUCUAUGGUAUUA
rnacentral:lncRNA from 1 species